rnacentral:SRP_RNA from 1 species
UCGCGCUGCCGCCCCACACCGCAACAGGCUCGUUCGUUCAUUGUGUCGAGAUGAUCGGUGACGCGAGGCACGUGCCGAAGGCGAAGGGGGCGUU